GAGAGUUUGAUCCUGGCUCAGGACGAACGCUGGCGGCGCGCCUAACACAUGCAAGUCGAACGGAGUCAAGAGGAGCUUGCUUUUCUUGACUUAGUGGCGAACGGGUGAGUAACGCGUGAGUAACCUGCCCUGGAGUGGGGGACAACAGUUGGAAACGACUGCUAAUACCGCAUAAGCCCACGGCCCGGCAUCGGGCUGAGGGAAAAGGAUUUAUUCGCUUCAGGAUGGACUCGCGUCCAAUUAGCUGGUUGGUGAGGUAACGGCCCACCAAGGCGACGAUUGGUAGCCGGACUGAGAGGUUGAACGGCCACAUUGGGACUGAGACACGGCCCAGACUCCUACGGGAGGCAGCAGUGGGGGAUAUUGCACAAUGGGGGAAACCCUGAUGCAGCGACGCCGCGUGGAGGAAGAAGGUUUUCGGAUUGUAAACUCCUGUCGUUAGGGACGAUAAUGACGGUACCUAACAAGAAAGCACCGGCUAACUACGUGCCAGCAGCCGCGGUAAAACGUAGGGUGCAAGCGUUGUCCGGAAUUACUGGGUGUAAAGGGAGCGCAGGCGGACCGGCAAGUUGGAAGUGAAAACUAUGGGCUCAACCCAUAAAUUGCUUUCAAAACUGCUGGCCUUGAGUAGUGCAGAGGUAGGUGGAAUUCCCGGUGUAGCGGUGGAAUGCGUAGAUAUCGGGAGGAACACCAGUGGCGAAGGCGACCUACUGGGCACCAACUGACGCUGAGGCUCGAAAGCAUGGGUAGCAAACAGGAUUAGAUACCCUGGUAGUCCAUGCCGUAAACGAUGAUUACUAGGUGUUGGAGGAUUGACCCCUUCAGUGCCGCAGUUAACACAAUAAGUAAUCCACCUGGGGAGUACGACCGCAAGGUUGAAACUCAAAGGAAUUGACGGGGGCCCGCACAAGCAGUGGAGUAUGUGGUUUAAUUCGAAGCAACGCGAAGAACCUUACCAGGUCUUGACAUCCGAUGCAUAGCGCAGAGAUGCGUGAAGUCCUUCGGGACAUCGAGACAGGUGGUGCAUGGUUGUCGUCAGCUCGUGUCGUGAGAUGUUGGGUUAAGUCCCGCAACGAGCGCAUCCCUUAUGGUCAGUUACUACGCAAGAGGACUCUGGCCAGACUGCCGUUGACAAAACGGAGGAAG
rnacentral:rRNA from 1 species